GGGGAUUUAGCUCAGUGGUAGAGUGCUUGCCUAGCAAGCACAAGACCCUGGGUUCGGUCCCCAGCUCCG
rfam:Rattus norvegicus chromosome 1, whole genome shotgun sequence.